GACGAACGCUGGCGGCGUGCUUAACACAUGCAAGUCGAACGAAAAUACCAAGCUUGCUUGGUUGAUUAGUGGCGAACGGGUGAGUAACACGUGAGUAACCUGCCCCUUACUUUCCUGGAUAACUGCUCGAAAGGGUAGCUAAUACGGGAUAUUCUGACCAGUCUGCAUGGGUUGGUUUGGAAAGGUUGUUUUUCUGGUAAGGGAUGGGCUCGCGGCCUAUCAGCUUGUUGGUGGGGUGAUGGCCUACCAAGGCUUUGACGGGUAGCCGGCCUGAGAGGGUGGACGGUCACACUGGGACUGAGAUACGGCCCAGACUCCUACGGGAGGCAGCAGUGGGGAAUAUUGCACAAUGGGCGCAAGCCUGAUGCAGCGACGCCGCGUGAGGGAUGAAGGCCUUCGGGUUGUAAACCUCUUUCGUCAGGGAACAAGGCACUACGUUUUGGUGGUGUUGAGGGUACCUGGAUAAGAAGCGCCGGCUAACUACGUGCCAGCAGCCGCGGUAAUACGUAGGGCGCAAGCGUUGUCCGGAAUUAUUGGGCGUAAAGAGCUUGUAGGCGGCUGGUCGCGUCUGUCGUGAAAACUUCCGGCUCAACCGGGGGCUUGCGGUGGGUACGGGCCGGCUAGAGUGCGGUAGGGGUAACUGGAACUCCUGGUGUAGCGGUGGAAUGCGCAGAUAUCAGGAAGAACACCGAUGGCGAAGGCAGGUUACUGGGCCGUUACUGACGCUGAGGAGCGAAAGCGUGGGGAGCGAACAGG
rnacentral:rRNA from 1 species